CAGCUGGUGCAUUACAAGGAAUGGUGUUUUAAAAUCUCCUUGGUGCUGAGUUGAGGCUUGUAUGAUUUUCUAUAGCAUUUCUAACCACUCUGGCUGCAUCAUGGUGUGAUCUGUUUCACAUGCCAGGAACUUUGAUGGGGCACAGUUGAGAUUAAUGAUGACAUAAUACAGUAAGAAGAGAUAUUAAUGCUCUUAGGCAUGAAUUAAUGAAAUACCAUUGAGAAUUUAUCCUGCAUGAAUAAAGGGAUUUAGAAGUUGUCGUUCUAAAAACCGCAUGAGGUAUUUUACUGGGGAAAAAAAAAAAAAAAAAAAGAGUAAAAGAAAAAAAAAACACUGCUGAAAUGGGCAGGGUCCUAAUGAACCUUUACUCCAGAUUUUUGUCAGAGCUGGAUGAUUGAGCUGGAUCUACUAAUUGAAUUCCUACUAAUUUACAGCAUUUAUAUAAAUGAGGCACAAAUCUCUCCCAUCCAGGGCUGUGUUGGUGCUAACUUUUAUCCCCAGCUCAGUACAAAGCUGGCUCCCAACCUCCAAUGUAGUUCUAGGGUAGAGAGCCAGCAGGCUAGCAGCAUUCAUAAAUCUGGAUCCAUACAGCAAGACUCGUGCUUACUGGAAUGGGCUAAAGUGUCUUUGCAAGGCUACAGCAGAGUGGAACUGAAGAGCACCUGUGUCCCAGCACUUUUCAUUCUCCAUCAUCCCCUAGAAUUUGAAUAUAACUGGACUGAAGUUACAAGGAAGAAUUGGAUGGAGCCAGUAGGGUUAACACUGAUACUAACAGGAGAUUACUAG
rnacentral:lncRNA from 1 species